AUAAACAAAAUCAUCAAGAAUAGUCUGAUAGAACUGUGAAUGAAUUGU
rnacentral:guide_RNA from 1 species